rnacentral:lncRNA from 1 species
GAUACAAGACUGAAUGUAUAAUUAAUGCAUGUCACAGUUGGGCAAGAAGCUAGGGAACAAGAGGAAGAAGUCCCCCACUGCCUACUGUAGAUUUUUGGAGGUGUAUCAGGACCGUGCCGGAUUGGCAGGUGAGUGGAAGUCAUGUACUUUGCACCAUGAGCAUUCUUAAUUCAUUUUCAUGAAUGUCGCCAAGUGUGAAUUGAUUCCACUUGAGCAUAUUGAUUGAUAUUGUAGUAGAUUCCUCUAUAAUCUUGUUUCUCCAUGCUUGAUUAUUUUGUACAUGCACUGAGGGAAUAUUGAGAGAAAUUUCAAGGGGUAGAAGAGUAGUCAAAUUGGUUCCGAAUUGUGAAAUGACUUCUUUUGUAAAUUAAUUUUAUUUCCUCUAUUUCAAAGACUUGUAGAGCCUUUUCAGUGAUAUAUUGAGUUGCAUUGCACUCCCUUGACCCCUCACUCCCAACCCUGAUGUUAGUUUAUGAUUGGGCCGUGGUUGAGUGAGUGGUAAUCUUGAUUAUACUCCUUUUUAGUAGAGUAUUGGGAUGGUGCAUUAUGACAUUUAUGCAUGGCUUGACAGUAUCUACAGGACACCUAUAGUCUAUGGGGUUAGACAUCAGCCUGUGUGCACAUAGUAGCCUUCUGGGUGAGCGGAGCCCAGUCCCUUCCUAGGGGGGAUACGGCCCUAGGCGUAGGAUCGGCCGGUCCUGUGACUUAUAUAUGGCUUGCCGCCGGGCAAAGUAAGAUCCGCAAGGUGUCGUUUAGUAUACAGAUAUGAGAUGUUUCUAUGGAUUUCUGUUCUGGAUACUGGCCAGCAUUUACAUUAUCAAUAUAGUGUCUUAUCCUGCAUAUGCAUGUGACAGUAGGAAGUUGUUGUGGUUCGCCUGGGGCGUAAGACCCACCUUCCGACAGCUGUCUAGUGAUGACUUCGCAUAUUGACACAUCGAUUUGCAUAUUUCAGUGUUAUAAUCUAUUGAGCAUAUUCAUGAUGUAUCAUUCAUGUUUAUUUGACUAUUCUAUAUAUGCUCCCGAUGAUUAUGAUUGUGGUGAUACUGUGAUGAUUUACUCCAUAUUUCUUAUGUUGAGUUGUGUGCACCCUGUUAUUGAUGACUGCUCAUAUGCUCUUGAGAUUUCACCUCGAGCCAUGAUUAUAUCUUGUCUCAUGUGCAUAGUACUCUCUACUCCGCUCACUGAGUAUUCAUAUACUCACUUUCCAGUUUGGUGUUUUUGAUUGCAGGGCAGGUGUUGUACAGAGAGGAGCAGGGUUAGAGAUUGCCUGCUAGCUGUGCUGCUUCAUAGUAUAAUGUAGAUAGAGGUUUAUACCUUUUGGUGUAUUAUAAACCUUCUGUUGUAUAUAGUGUAUAGUUACAGUCAUAGAUCCUGUUGUGGAUAUGGGUUGACCAUGGAUGGAUUGGGAAACAGGUAUAUAUAUAUAUGUGCAGAUCAGUUGUGUGCCUGUGAUAAUGUAUUGCUAUAUAUUGUCCAGGUUUAUUAUGUGACAGAAUAUGUGAUUGCUGCUCUGACAGGUAGUGUUGUUGUAUGUAUUGAGAUAAUCCUGACAGGUCAAUAUAGGAAAGGUGAUCAUUUGUGUAUGCAUCAUGCCAAAAUUUUCAGAAUUUAUUGAUGAUUGAUAGGUAGUAGGGUUCUAUGUGGUGGCUGGUGGCCUUAUGCCUACCUGCACCCUAGGACCGUCGCGGCGGCCCGCCGGAACAGGGCAGGGGUCGUGACAGUGGCCCUUGCUAGCCUUCUAGUCUCAACCUCUUCCACACUCACUUGAGUUAGAUUCAAUACCAAAACCUGCAUAGAAGUUCUGAAUUAGACAAGUAUGAGGUACAAAGACUUGAAAUGGUUUUCAUUGGAUGUCUUUUGUCCAACAGUAAUUUAAAAUAUGGAAUUUCUGA